rnacentral:rRNA from 1 species
CACGUAGGGAGCAAGCGUUGUCCGGAAUUACUGGGCGUAAAGCGCACGUAGGCGGCUUUGUAAGUUAGAGGUGAAAGCCCGGGGCUCAACCCCGGAAUUGCCUUUAAGACUGCAUCGCUUGAAUCCGGGAGAGGUGAGUGGAAUUCCGAGUGUAGAGGUGAAAUUCGUAGAUAUUCGGAAGAACACCAGUGGCGAAGGCGGCUCACUGGACCGGCAUUGACGCUGAGGUGCGAAAGCGUGGGGAGCAAACAGG